GACGAACGCUGGCGGCGUGCUUAACACAUGCAAGUCGAACGGAAAGGCGCUGCGUUUGUGGGGUGCUCGAGUGGCGAAGGGGUGAGUAACACGUGAGUAACCUGCCCUUGAAUGUGGGAUAACUUUAGGAAACUGGGGCUCAUACCGGGUAGGAGCUCCUGCUGCAUGGUGGGGGAUGGAGAGUGUCGGCGGUUGGGGAUGGACUCGCGGCUUAUGAGCUGGUUGGGCGGGUAGGGGCGUCCAAAGGCUUUGAAGGGUAGCCGGCCUGGGAGGGUGGCCAGCCACAAUGGGACUGAGAUACGGCCCAGACUCCUACGGGCGGCAGCAGUGGAGAAUAUUGCACAAUGGGCGGAAGUCUGAUGCAGCGACGCCGCGUGCGGGAUGACGGCCUUCGGGUUGUAAACCGCUUUCGCCUGUGACGAAGCGUGCGUGACGGUAAUGGGUAAAGAAGCACCGGCUAACUACGUG
rnacentral:rRNA from 1 species